GUGAGGAAUUUUCCGCAAUGGGCGAAAGCCUGACGGAGCAAUGCCGCGUGAAGGAUGAAGGCCUAUGGGUUGUAAACUUCUUUUCUCAGAAAAGAAUUAUGACGGUAUCUGAGGAAUAAGCAUCGGCUAACUCUGUGCCAGCAGCCGCGGUAAGACAGAGGAUGCAAGCGUUAUCCGGAAUGAUUGGGCGUAAAGCGUCUGUAGGUUGUUUAAAAAGUAUUCUGUCAAAGAUUAGGGCUUAACUCUAGAUAGGCAGAAUAAACUUUUAAGCUAGAGUUUGAUAGAUGCAGAGGGAAUUCCCGGUGGAGCGGUGAAAUGCGUAGAUAUCGGGAGGAACACCAAAGGCGAAGGCACUCUGCUGGGCCAAUACUAACACUGAGAGACGAAAGCGAGGGGAGCAAAUGGGAUUAGAUACCCCUGUAGUCC
rnacentral:rRNA from 1 species